CGUGCGAGGCUAAGCAUGCUCAGUGUAAAUUCUCCUGUAGCCUGUCAAGCUAUGUUUGAACUCGUUCCAGAAUACUGGAUUUACUUUUUUUUUUCCACCAGGAAGAAUGCUCGAUUAGACUGCAUUUUGCCCUGCUUUCUUUCUCUCCUUUCUCUAUUUCUUUCUUUCUUUAGCCCCCUCAUCUUUCUUUUUCUUUCUUUCCUUUUUUAUUUCUCUUUCUGUUUUCUUUCUCUCUCUCUUCCUUUCUUUACCCUCUUUCUACCAGAAGAUUGGAAAUACUAUUCUUUUCUAAUCAGUUCAGUAAUAUAAUGUCCUUCAGGGUCCACAUGAGCAUUUCAGUGGAGAAGAAAAGAAACUUUGCUACCUGGGAACUGAAGACUACUUAGGUCAGUGAAUGCUAAUAAAGUCCUAAAGGACUUAUGGAGCCAGGAGUUAACUUUUCUCAACUGUUAAGAGUUCGAGAAAGAUGUUAACCUUCAGGGUAUUUUCCAUACCUUGCUUGAAAAUAAUUUCGAUUCCAACAAGAAGUACUGAAGGAAAAAAUGCAGCUUUUCAGGCACCAGAAAAGAGGGACAAAAAUCACAGAUAACGUCAGAUACAAAGUACACCGUUCCCUUUGAAAUUGUCCAUGUUCAAAAGCAAAGAUGGGCUGUCUGGAAAGCUGGACUCAGCCUGGAGCCUGUUCCCCAGAUUGCUAUUUUCUGAAGACUUCCGCAUACAAAUGACUCAGAUCCAAACAUUCAAAAAAUGAUCUUGAAGGGCCAUCUGGUUCUUGCUGGUUCUAAAGCUUCAUUCAGUCUGGUGGAUGGAUCCAGUACAAAAGAUAGUGAGGGCUCUUCAUUGAAGUUUAGAUAUGUUCCAUGGAUCAAAGUGAGAAGCUGACUUUCAAAAAUCACCAAUGCUGAUGCUCCAAGGACUGGUGAUGCUUCUCUCUCAUAGUGAAGAUGCUGCUGCUGCAUGUCCAGUUGUUCUCAUCUGUCUAAGACUAUGGACCUCCAGGAAAUUACCCUGCUGAAGGGGAGCCGAGAUCUGGAGUCUGUUACAGAUGAAAUUACCUGAUUCAUACCUUCCCACCUGGAUCUCCUUUGCCUUUUUGAGGAGAGAAGAGAUUGAAAGAGGCAGCAGGACCUGAAAAGCAUUAUAAACAGAGGAAGAAAAGUAACAAAGAGCUUGAAGACAAGCCAGGCUGGCAGGCCCUAGAUGGAGGCAGGCGGCAUCCGACAGAACCAGGAAAUCUGAGGGGCAGCCGGGAGGUGCUGUGGCUGCAAAGCCCAGCCCAUCAACAAAAAGGAAUAAUGACUCCCAAAUCAUUUCCGAAUAUGAAAGUUGAAAAGAUGUCUCGACGAUGCUUCGUCAUGCCAGACCCAGGCGAAUGGGUGCGGAUUUUGGCCUAACAAGAUAGCAGCGGGUUUAAAAAAAUAGGACUCUUAAGAAGUUCCUUUUGCAGUUGUGUUGAUGUUCCUUUCAGCUGGUCCUAUAGCCCCCCCUCCUCAGGAAUGUCUCCCCAAUGAAAGGACAAAGAAGGCAGAGACUGAUGACUGAUGGACACUCAAGCCAACUGUGAAGUUGAAAGAGAGAAAGCAGUCACCUGAAGACACCUCUCCUGCUAACCAACACACCCAAGUGGUGCAGUUUCAGCCAAUAGAACUCUCAGAACAAGAAACAUAAAAACUUAAUAAUGACACAUAGAUUUCUAAACGGCCAAGGACUUUCCCUUCCUCGUGUGUACACCUCUGUUUGUAUUUAAAUUCAGUGUGACAUUUUCUUUUCUUUUUUUCCUAGUGUGAAUAUGCUUAUUCAUGCACCAAUUCAAAGAUCUAAGAUUGCACAAAUGUGUUAAAAUUUGAAGGAACAAGAUUAAUACUCUAGAGUUUUAGCCACACACAGAGUUUGAUCUUAAGAAUGACUUUAGAGAGUAUAAAAUACUUUUAAAUGAAGUCAGAGACAACUUAAAGGCUAAAGCCAUGGUGGAAACACAGUUUAACAACUACACAUUAUUUCACCUGACACUCACCAGUCUCCAUAGAUUGGUCAUUGUCACAUGCUCCAGGAGGCCUCUAUAAAGAGUUAAACCUAGUUAAACAGAGGUACAGAAACCUUUAGAGAUAUAAGUAAUAAUUCAGGUCACUAGAUGAUGAAAGCGAAGCAAACCAAAAGAUUCAACAAGGAGCUCAAAGAAUGUCACCAUAAACUGGGUGGAACUGGUCUCUUCAGGGAAAAAAGUUCUCAGAUAAAGAAAAUCUAAGUUGAAUCUUAAAGAAUGUUGAAGAUUUAGAUAAAUGGAAAGUAAGGAGAAAAUAGAGUCCUUUAGAUGGAUCCAAUACAGUAAAUAAAGCUAUAGGGGAAGGAAUCAGCUCGGUGAGUUUAGGGAAUUAUGAAUACACAUGUCUAGCUGACUUCAUCCCAGACAUCUCAUACCAAUGCAUGUGUAUGUGUAUCUCUAUAGAUACACACAUACAUGGUAAAGCCUUUAUACAUACUUUGCCUCUCUUAUCCCAGAUGUUGCCUAGAAAUAUGUUUGUUUGUUUGUUUUUUGCUAUUAAAGCAACUGAGAGUGAUUGGUGCUAACAUGGAGAAGUUGCAAUUUUUCUGUUAACCUAAUAAUAAUUGGUAUUUAUUGAAUUCUCACUGUAUGUUAAGCAUCUUACAUACUAACCCACUUAAGCCUCACAACACUCCUGAAAAAAUUAGAUAUCAUCCCCAUUCUACAGAUAAGUAAACUGAGGCUUAAUAAGGUGAAAUAACUUGCCAAAGUGCCAUGUACAGGACUCAUAUUCACAACUGGGAUUACAAAGCUCAUGGUCUAAAGCACUAUGUGACAAAAUUGUGAUUAGUGUUAUAGUAUUACCACUUCAACCCUUCUUGACCUCUUUCUGUGGUAAACACAUAGGUACUUUAAUUAUCCCCUCAAAAAAUUUCUGUUUUCUGGUUAAAUUACACUAGAGUAAUAAAAUAGAUUAUUUGAAAAAAACUGGGAAUUGGAGUUUAUCAGUAUUUUAGCUUUUUGUGUGCGUGUGUGUAAAAUCUCGUAUUUGUUAAGAAACAAAAAAGGGAGGGGAGCUUAAUGGCCAUCUGUUAUAAUAUGCUUGCUUUUUAAUAGAGGAGAUAAAUCCAUACAGACUGAGUGAUUUAUAGAUUAUCACACAUUCAAGUGUGUCAGAGCUAGGUCCAAAAACCAGGCCCUCCAACCUAAUCGUAGUGGCUCUAGAACUAUCUUUUCUCAAAAACACAUGAACCUGAAUUUGAUCAAUGAAACAUUCUGUUGGGGUGAUCAGAGAGCACUGUAAUUAGGAGAUUGCUUCAUUUCUGCAUCACUUUAGCUUCCACCUCAAUGGAAAAAGCAAGCUAUGAUUUAACAUUUUUAGAUAUCGGCAUAGUCAAUGGUCCAUCCCUAAAGAACACAUAAUGGCCCAAAUUACAUGUACAAUGAUAAUCUGUAGUUAUUAAGAAUUCUUGGUUCACCUUAAAAAAUAAUCUCAUAAUGAGCUUUUUCUUGACCAGCUUUAUGCAAGUAUGUAUUUGUAAGUGCUUCUGCAUGAGUAUUUAUAUAUGACUGUUUCAGUAUUCCUUAUGUUUUUUGAAAAUAUCAAUAGUUAUUUACUAUUGUAAUCCUCACUUAUCCAUGUAACUAAUUCAAGAAUACUUCAUUCAUUACAAGCGAGAAUCAAGGAAAUCGCACUCUUAUUUACAUGCCCCUUUGUAUUUGGUUGGCAUUUAGCAGUGAUUAAUAAAGUGGUCAGCUGGAUAACACAAAGGUUCAAAAUGUAAUUCCAUCUUGAAGGAGUUGGUUUGGCUAGGUCUACUUAAGGACAAACAUCUAGACAUUUGGAAGUACCUGGAUAUUUGACUAUUGUAAAUUUUUACUUAGAUAUCUGGGAUAGUUAGACUUAAAACUCCUCAUGUCUUGUUUUAAAAAUGAUGAUUAUUGGCAGUAUCUCACAUAGUUCUCAUUAAGUGAGUUCAUAAAUAAACAGGGUUCUUUAAAGAGUAGCCAAGCACAAAGUGUGACUUCAUUGACAUUUUAUGACUUUGUCAUAUGUCCCUAAGCCCCCAAUAAAGGCAUUGUUGCAUCAACUAUGAAUUUGUGUUGAUUUCUUGGAAGAGCAUCCCCUCAUAAAUUGUUUGUGUUCACCAGUGUAUACCAAAGCUAGUUUCAGGAUGCGCGAGGAACAAAGAAUAUAAUGUGGUGGGAAAUUUUAAAUUUAGAGAUAAUUCCUAAACAAUCCGAUGUUGCCUUUAAAUAAACAAUACUAUUAUCUACCCAUGUCAGAAGCCAAGGUGUGAUCCUUGUCUUUCCUCUUUCCAUCUGCCACGGCCAGCCAAUCAAGGUAAAUAUUUUUGAUUUUCCCAUCUUUCAGUUUUCAAAUAUGUCCUUGUCUCCAUAUUUCUGUUACUACAGUUAAGACAACACUCCUGUCUCCCCUGGGCUACUCUAUUAUGCCUCCAGUUUUCCGCUUAAUGCUGUCAAGUAGAAAUCAGGGAAAUCUCUCUAAAAAGUACAUAUGAUUAUAUCAUUUCACAGUUUCAAACUUCUCACUGGCUUCCUGUUGCCCCUGAAAUGUCAUAACACCUAGAGCCUUUUAUAUCCUGAAUCCUGGCCCAUGUUCUUCUCUGGACUCAUCAAGUACCUCUGCCACUGCUCUUCUAGGCCCUUGCCAUGUAUCUUUGCCCUUUCUUAAUGUUCUUUUUAUCUUCUUGACUUUUCCACAUACUUAACUUUAUGCUCAGUACUAAUCUCCUCUACCCUUCCCAGAGUCGAUCACUGUCCUUCAGGUCUCAUCCUCGAAGUCAUUUCCUCUGGGAAGUCUCCACCCCUAGUAUUGCCACUACCCCUAAGACAAGCUUCCUCGCCUGAGUACUUUCUUCUGUGCUUACCUCAUAUUAGCACUUACCACCCUGAUUAUAGCUUAUGUGCCAGGCUCCUUCAUCUGAAUACGAAAUUCUAGAGCUGCCUUGCUCAACAGGGUGACUAGUAUGCACCCUACUGAAUAACAAAGAGAUACAAUUCCAUCACCAUGAAAGUUCUACUAAACAGCAUUGUUCUAAAAGACCAGUGCUGUUUGAUGUUUGUCAUUUUACCCCCUUCACUUGAAAUCUUUUUUAACUGGAGAUUGUCACCUCAACCACAGCACAACAAAUGAUUUGAGUGACAAUUUUCUCAAUUCUCCCAGGGAUGAUAAAUAAGUAAAACUAUACUGUAUGUGUAAAAGGAAGUUAAUUCACUACAGGGUAUUAGGAUUUAAGUCUACCUUAAAUCCAUAGUAAAGAAAAUCUAUGAUCACAUUGCUUGGUACAAUGUAAGUACCUCAUAAAUAUCUACUGAAUGAAGGAAUGACAUAUAUAUUAGACCUUUUGUUUUAUUUUCACUUACAUGUGUGGAGUCAAGUCUAGAUUCCAAGGGACCCCGUUUUCUAGAGGAUAUGGUGAUCGAUGACUUGCUUAUAUCCCAAGCAGAGUUGAAUGGCUUCACUACAACAGGAUUAUCCUAUAUUUUACUCUCCUCCAUUAUUUACACUGGCAAACAAAAGUAGAGAAUUGAGUUUUUAUUCAGUGAAUAAGGCCAAAGUGAAAAUGAGCAAAUUAUACCAGAUUUGAUAAAUUCUAAUUCUUUUAGGCAUUGACCAGUUUUAAAAUGUUCAUUGUUGCCUGAGCACCUCCUGUAUGUCAGGCAUUUUGUUAGGUCUUGGGGAUAAAAAAGGGGAUAAAGUGGACACAGUGUGCUUCUAAGUAAAGUAGCAAUAAUAAAAUUAUUUCUGGCCCUCUCCCUGCACUGUACUUUAAACAGGAGUUUUCAACAUGACUACACAUUGUUAUCACCUACAGACUUUAAAAAUCAUUGAUACCUGAGUCCUUCAAAAGAUUGAUUUAAUUAGUGUGGGUGUGGCCAAGAAAUUGGGAUUGAUUUUUAAAGUCUUAUGGUGAUUAUAAUUUGUAGCCAAAUCUGAGAUUUAUUUACCUGUGGGGACAGAGCUCAGGGAUCAAGAACUUUGGGUAUUAUUAAUUGACAGCAUAUUAAAAACAAAAAGAGAAACGUUAAAAAUUAUCGGACUUAUCUUCAUUUUACUUUUUGUUCCUCAGAAUAUGAAUUCGUUCUUAAGAGACACUAUGUUGUCCAAGUCAACAGCCAGUUCCUGACUGAGAUAAAAUCUGAUUCCAGGUUUCUGACUAACAACAAACCUCUUUUGCUGAGACUAAACUGUGUCAGGGAAAAGAAAAAUACAAUUAUCUUGAAAUCAAAAGACAACAUCUACUGUAGUCAUAAUUUUUAAAAGCAAGAAUUGAAUUGGUACCUAUUUGAAUCCCCAGUACUCAAAUUUUUCUGCUAAUCAAAUGUGAGCACUAUAGACUCAUUUUGUUAGAUUGCAACUUCUUUUUUGAAAAAUGUACCAGUGUGUAUAUGGAUCUAUAACUAUAUGUGUGUAUGUAUGGAUAUGUGUGUAUACACACACACAUAAACUGUAAAGAGGGCAAGAUCCCCAGAAGCCCCAAUAAUAUUCUUACAAAUUCAAAAAUAAAUAUGCAUAUGUUAAACUCCACACAUAUUUGCCUUUAAAUGUGAACUACUCUAUAGCAGAAAUGGUAGUGGGAGGAGAAAAUAAAAGAGUUCAUUGUGCUCCAUAUUCUCUGUUCCACCCACCUUAUUACAUGACAUUCCAUUGAGUUUAACAUUUCCAGCACAGGUAAAAAUUGCCAGUCUGUCCUUAUGAGUAAAAUUGACUUUGAAAAGUAACUACCAUUUAAAAAGGUACUUCUCUUAGCUUACCACCACACCUCACUUUUAGAUUCUACUCAUAGAUUAAGAGAAUCCAGGAACCAUAAACCAUCUAGUCUGCUCUUCAUCCACAUAAGACCAGAUAGUGAAAAUGUGCCUUUGCAUUUUUUAAAAGCAUCAAUGUAAAACUAAUGUUCACAUAGUCCCUUCAAAACUCAUUUCAGUGUUCAAGAGCCUACACAGUUGGGAAAUUCUAUUUUAUUUCGAUCCCAAGUCCCUCACGCUGUCGUUUAAUCCCAUUUUCUCUUGUUCCCUGUGGAGAGAAAGAACAGCUGGUCUCCAUUCUCUCUAAACUCAAUCCCUUCAUGUCCUUAAAGACACCUACCUCCCAGCCCUCUCUUCUCUGGAAUACAUAAGAGUUCUCAUCAGGAAAAUGUCUCUCUCGGAUUGUGCAUAUUUACUGCAUAUCACAUAUAUUCAUGCUCAUCACAUGUUCAUAAGAAAAACAAGCCAAGGCCAAGAGCAAAAACAAGCAAAUGUAUCAUUGUUUUUGUGAAUGAAGUUACAAAUCCAAUAAUUCACACUGAAUACAUAGUUGUGAAUGAUAAUCUUCCAAUUAUUAUGUGUCAAAAUUAACAUAAUUUCUUUUUAAAAGUAUUGGCAAUCUGUUGCUUUUAGAGAGGUGAAUUAGAAAUUCAAGAUUAGGUUUCAAUUUCCUUUUUGCAAGUUCUCCCUGUGCUCUGCAAUGGAAUAUUCCAUUCAGCAUUCCACAGCAGGAGCCACCAUUGCUUUGACAAAAAUAGAUACAGUAUUGGAACAUUCAGUCAAUGGAGUAAUCCAAUUGUCUGAACAUUCUUUUCUGCUUUGUCAUUUACAUUUUAAUAAAUCCCAGAAUAUGUCAAGCUGUAUCGAGUUGUACCAAGUGUAGCUAAUAACAUGCAGUUACCAGAUACAAGAGGAAAUCAUAACAUGCAAGUCCUGCAAUGCAUCAACAUUUGGUUUGUGUGUAUUUUUGGUUCCUACAUGUUAAACUGGGAUACUCUUAAAAAUGGAUAUUUAGCAGUCUUUGCUAUUACCAACAUGCUGUAGGGAGGGUUUCUCUACUUAAUUGAUCUAGGAACGCUGGCAUCUGUUAGCCUCAAGGAUGGCACUAUAUAUAGCUAGCAAAAAUGUGGAAUGUUAAAUCAUCAUCUUAUGACUAUUCCUCUGCCAGUUUAUUGGCUCUCCUUUCAUGAGGCUCAGAUAAUCACACUUAAUGUCACGACACCAAGAUUUGGGACAAACCAGUCUUGAAAAAUAUUGUGUGUGUGCGUGUUGUCAUUGACCUAUAUGCAAACUUAACUGCAUGCAUAUAUUGGCCACCAACUGUUUCAAAAUUUGGAGAGAUUCUGUAUUCCUGGUUUGACAGAGACCUCUGGGAUUUCACAAUGUUGUAGAGCUGUAAUGGUAGUGAAGUAAGUCUCAGCACAUUGGGAACUCUCUGGUGCAGGUAUGUACAUAGAGAGGAGGAUUCUUCAAGAAUGAGACUUUUCACAUUAGUUUCUCUUAAUUAAUAUAACAUGGGACUUGAGGCUUAAACCUAACUCUGGUUUAAUCCUUUGUAUUUAGUUACCUAAGUCACUUAAAUUAGCCCAUCAGAAAACUCUCACUUUAGGCUUCUCCUCUCAACCUUUCCAUCAUUACCUCUUAUUAGCUUCCAGAGAAUGAGGUUUAUUUCCUGCCAUCAAGUUAAUCUGAUUAGUAUUAAACAUGUAAUAAACUCAAGGACUAACGAGAAUCACUUGGUUUUUCCUCAUGCUUACAGCUGUUAAAUGCUUGCCAUGAGACUGUGAGCAGUACACCAUCAUGAUGUGGGUUUGGGUAUCAUGUUGAGGAGAGUGAUAACAUAGCUAGCAGUGAUGACAUGGACCAAAUGCAGUGGCAUUGUAAUGCAUAAAUGAGGUCAUCAGUGUUUGUUGAUUCCCAGAGUUGUUUCUUCCUCUGCCUACAGGGUUAGAACUGGUAUAUUCAGUGGGAAAGUGUGACCUAGCUAACAGUAGGAUUAUUACAGUAUCUUGAAGAUCACAAGAGAAUGAUGACCCAUUACAAUUUCCCCAUUCACUUAAAAUGUAUCAACAUUGGCUGUCAUAAAAUAUUACAAUGAUUAUAGGGUAAUGGGUUUGGAUUUGGAUGAACUUGAGAUAAUCAACUGAUGAUCUCAUCAAAAUUAAGGAGAAUUUUAGGGGUGUGUUGGUGAAGUCAAAAGGCACAGUUGAAAGUUUUAUGAAUCAAAGGUGAUAUACUUUAAAUAUAACUAUAAAUAAUUCCUUUAAAAUUUCUGAAGUUGACUCAGCUCUUCUGUAAAAUAACAAACAUGGUAGUUGACUUGUCUUGAUUUUAUAAAGAUACUGAAAGAAAUUAUGGCCAGUGUUUAAGAAGGCUCCUAUAUUAUAAACCAUUGACCUUUAAACUACAUACAUUAGCAGAGAAGAGCAGGGAUGCAAAUGCUAUACAAAAUGAAUAUGGUGUUUAUAAUGCAAUUUUGAUGUUUGCUACUGCCAAAUUUCUUUUUAAAUUCUAGAGCCAAAAUACAUUCAAUCAUGAAAAAACCAUUGCGGCUAUCUAGUCUACCUUUUGCUUGAAUUUUUUCUGCUAGUCUCUUGUGGAUCACCUCUCUAAUCAACCAUUCCACCUUUGGACAAUUCAGAGUGUUUAAACACUUUCUUCUUUUAUCAAGGUUUAGGAGUCUCUUCCAUCAUUCCAAGUUUUACCCAUGAGAUAUACAAUGUAAGUCUGAUCAGUCUUUUCCUAUUGUCAAUUCAUAGACAAAGGAAGAAAUCAUGUUCUUUCCGUAGUCUCCUUUUCUCAGGGCUACACACACCGAGCACCUUCAAUCACUAUCCCGAAGGCAUUAUCUCAAGUACAUUGAUCACUUAUAAGUUGUCUCUAAAAUUUGCCUUUUUAAAUAUGUUAUUCAGAAUUGAAUGUGAUUUUCUAGAUGUGGACUAACAAAUGGAAAGCAGACAUGUUAUGAUCACUGAAAAGAAAUUGUCCCUAAGUGCUCAAUUUUUAUGAAUAAAACCUGUUAAUUUUCUUAGCAAUCAUUAAGCAGUAUUGAUGCAUAU